UGGGGAAUUUUGGACAAUGGGGGAAACCCUGAUCCAGCCAUCCCGCGUGUGCGAUGAAGGCCUUCGGGUUGUAAAGCACUUUUGGCAGGAAAGAAACGUCGCGGGUUAAUACCCCGCGGAACUGACGGUACCUGCAGAAUAAGCACCGGCUAACUACGUGCCAGCAGCCGCGGUAAUACGUAGGGUGCAAGCGUUAAUCGGAAUUACUGGGCGUAAAGCGUGCGCAGGCGGUUCGGAAAGAAAGAUGUGAAAUCCCAGAGCUUAACUUUGGGAACUGCAUUUUUAACUACCGGGCUAGAGUGUGUCAGAGGGAGGUGAAUUCCGCGUGUAGCAGUGAAAUGCGUAGAUAUGCGGAGGAACACCGAUGGCGAAGGCAGCCUCCUGGGAUAACACUGACGCUCAUGCACGAAAGCGUGGGGAGCAAACAGGAUUAGAUACCCUGGUAGUCCACGCCCUAAACGAUGUCAACUAGCUGUUGGGGUCUUCGGACCUUGGUAGCGCAGCUAACGCGUGAAGUUGACCGCCUGGGGAGUACGGUCGCAAGAUUAAAACUCAAAUGAAUUG
rnacentral:rRNA from 1 species